rnacentral:rRNA from 1 species
CCUACGGGUGGCAACAGUGGGGAAUAUUGCACAAUGGGGGAAACCCUGAUGCAGCGACGCCGCGUGAGUGAAGAAGUAUUUCGGUACGUAAAGCUCUAUCAGCCGGGAAGAAAAACAGUCCUUUGGACUUUGGACGGUACCUGACCAGGAAGCCCCGGCUAAAUACGUGCCAGCAGCCGCGGUAAUACGUAGGGGGCAAGCGUUAUCCGGAUUUACUGGGGGUAAAGGGAGCGUAGACGGCAGCGCAAGUCUGGAGGGAAAUGCCGGGGCCCAACCCCGGAACUGCUUUGGAAACUGUGCAGCUGGAGUGCAGGAGAGGUAAGCGGAAUUCCUAGUGUAGCGGUGAAAUGCGUAGAUAUUAGGAGGAACACCAGUGGCGAAGGCGGCUUACUGGACUGUAACUGACGUUGAGGCUCGAAAGCGUGGGGAGCAAACAGGAUUAGAUACCCGAGUAGUC